rfam:Salmo salar isolate Sally breed double haploid chromosome ssa15, whole genome shotgun sequence.
CGCACGCAUGACUGUAAGUCACUUUGGAUAAAAUCGUCUGCUAAAUAGCAUAUA